GACGAACGCUGGCGGCGUGCUUAACACAUGCAAGUCGAACGGUAAGGCCCUUCGGGGUACACGAGUGGCGAACGGGUGAGUAACACGUGGGUGAUCUGCCCUGCACUUCGGGAUAAGCCUGGGAAACUGGGUCUAAUACCGGAUAGGACCACUGCCUGCAUGGGUGGUGGUGGAAAGCUUUUGCGGUGUGAGAUGGGCCCGCGGCCUAUCAGCUUGUUGGUGGGGUGAUGGCCUACCAAGGCGACGACGGGUAGCCGGCCUGAGAGGGUGACCGGCCACACUGGGACUGAGAUACGGCCCAGACUCCUACGGGAGGCAGCAGUGGGGAAUAUUGCACAAUGGGCGCAAGCCUGAUGCAGCGACGCCGCGUGAGGGAUGACGGCCUUCGGGUUGUAAACCUCUUUCAGCACCGACGAAGCGCAAGUGACGGUAGGUGCAGAAGAAGGACCGGCCAACUACGUGCCAGCAGCCGCCGAA
rnacentral:rRNA from 1 species